AGGGAGCGAGGACGGCUAUGUUUCUUCGGAACAGAUUUCUUAAUAUAUUUUGCACCGUAUCGGACAAGUAAUGUCCUCCUUUGUGAGGCAAAUUAAGGUGAAACAGGAUGUUUUCUUUCAUCACUGUUUUAUGCCGAAGAAAACACGAUAAUGGAGGAAGGGAAGCCAGGAACGCCCCAGUACGGAAUCUGAAUGAGCCUCCGGCGAGAGUUUCCUCUCUCAGGAGGAAGAGGAGCGAGUCACUUUAUGGCACUGCAUUAAUUAAAAAUCCACUUCAAAGAGACAGAGGAAAAACAAACAGAAAAAGAACUCUUAGUGCCAAAACCUCUUAUUCUUCAACUGAAACGUAACUGGAAUAUUUUAUUGCUAUUGCUGGAAAUAGUUCUUUUCCUUGUUUUCCCUGACUAGCUGUCUGCCUUUGAUGCAGAAAGAUGAUAAUAUGCUUCAAUUUCAUGUUAAUAUGCUUGUCAUAAAUCAACAUGCUACCUGUCUGUAAAACAUAGUUAUAUAAAGCUCCUGUAUAUUUUAAAAUUAGAAGAGAGAAGUAGAUCAUAAUACCUAUGUAUACAUGUGA